rnacentral:rRNA from 1 species
AGUGAACGCUGGCGGUAGGCCUAACACAUGCAAGUCGAACGGCAGCACAGUAAGAGCUUGCUCUUACGGGUGGCGAGUGGCGGACGGGUGAGGAAUACAUCGGAAUCUACUUUUUCGUGGGGGAUAACGUAGGGAAACUUACGCUAAUACCGCAUACGACCUACGGGUUAAAGCAGGGGAUCUUCGGACCUUGCGCGAUUGAAUGAGCCGAUGUCGGAUUAGCUAGUUGGCUGGGUAAAGGCCCACCAAGGCGACGAUCCGUAGCUGGUCUGAGAGGAUGAUCAGCCACACUGGAACUGAGACACGGUCCAGACUCCUACGGGAGGCAGCAGUGGGGAAUAUUGGACAAUGGGCGCAAGCCUGAUCCAGCCAUACCGCGUGAGUGAAGAAGGACUUCGGGUUGUAAAGCCCUUUUGUUAGGAAAGAAAAGCAGCAGGUUAAUACCCCGAUGUUCUGACGGUACCCAAAGAAUAAGCAACGGCUAACUUCGUG